GAUUCUUCGGAUGAAAGUUUGGUGACUGAGUGGCGGACGGGUGAGUAACGCGUGGGUAACCUGCCCUGUACAGGGGGAUAACAGCUGGAAACGGCUGCUAAUACCGCAUAAGCGCACGAGGAGACAUCUCCUAGUGUGAAAAACUCCGGUGGUACAGGAUGGGCCCGCGUCUGAUUAGCUGGUUGGCAGGGUAACGGCCUACCAAGGCAACGAUCAGUAGCCGGUCUGAGAGGAUGAACGGCCACAUUGGAACUGAGACACGGUCCAAACUCCUACGGGAGGCAGCAGUGGGGAAUAUUGCACAAUGGGGGAAACCCUGAUGCAGCAACGCCGCGUGAGUGAAGAAGUAUUUCGGUAUGUAAAGCUCUAUCAGCAGGGAAGGUAAUGACGGUACCUGACUAAGAAGCUCCGGCUAAAUACGUGCCAGCAGCCGCGGUAAUACGUAUGGAGCAAGCGUUAUCCGGAUUUACUGGGUGUAAAGGGUGCGUAGGUGGCAGUGCAAGUCAGAUGUGAAAGGCCGGGGCUCAACCCCGGAGCUGCAUUUGAAACUGCAUAGCUAGAGUACAGGAGAGGCAGGCGGAAUUCCUAGUGUAGCGGUGAAAUGCGUAGAUAUUAGGAGGAACACCAGUGGCGAAGGC
rnacentral:rRNA from 1 species